UACGAAGGGGGCUAGCGUUGCUCGGAAUUACUGGGCGUAAAGCGCACGUAGGCGGCUUUCUAAGUCGGGGGUGAAAUCCUGGAGCUCAACUCCAGAACUGCCUUCGAUACUAGAAAGCUCGAGUCCGGGAGAGGUGAGUGGAACUGCGAGUGUAGAGGUGAAAUUCGUAGAUAUUCGCAAGAACACCAGUGGCGAAGGCGGCUCACUGGCCCGGUACUGACGCUGAGGUGCGAAAGCGUGGGGAGCAAACAGG
rnacentral:rRNA from 1 species